UUUUUCCUACGGGACGCAGCAGUGAGGAAUAUUGGUCAAUGGCCGCAGGGCUGAACCAGCCACGUCGCGUGAGGGAUGACGGUCCUAUGGAUUGUAAACCUCUUUUGUCAGGGAGCAAAGGGCGCCACAUGUGGCGCUUUGCGAGUACCUGAAGAAAAAGCAUCGGCUAACUCCGUGCCAGCAGCCGCGGUAAUACGGAGGAUGCGGGCGUUAUCCGGAUUUAUUGGGUUUACAGGGUGCGCAGGCGGAAUGUCAAGUCAGCGGUAAAAUUUCGGUGCUCAACCCCGUCGUGCCGUUGAAACUGG
rnacentral:rRNA from 1 species